rnacentral:lncRNA from 1 species
AAAAAAUAUAUAUAUAUAUAUACACACACACACACACACACACACACACACGGAUCAGGAUUCAAAUGUACUAACGUGAUACAAGGCCUAUCACUUUUUAACUUCACCAUACUGUAUUUUCAGUCAUUUUAACAUACACAGCUAAUGAAUAUCUAUCUUAUUUGCACACUUAGGAUAAUAACAGAAAUUAAAAGUUGAACAUAUGCAGUUUAUUUUGUCCAAAAUAUAAUUGUUGUUUCUCUGUGUUGGGAAAGGCUGUCUCCUGCAUGCAGUCCUGUGUGUGGACUCCAUUGGACCACAGAAGAAUGAGCCUUCAACCCGAACACUUCCUUACCAACAGAUAAAGAGCCUUCACAGCAUGUGCCGGGUUUAUCGCCUGGUAUGGGAAUAUCUUUUCCUGUUUCAGACUCUGUAUACUCCUUUAAUCUGCUUAAGCUCAUAUGUCAAUGGCCCUCAGACACACCUCCAGCUUUCUGUAUUUCAGACUGCAUGGGAAGGGGGAGGGGUCCCUCUAUUGCAGCACAAAGUGGGGUGGGUGCAGCUAACUCCCCACAUAGCAUAGCUGUGAAGUGGAUCCAGUGGCCCUGAGGGACCAACACAAUGUAAGGAGCUGGACCUUGUGCACUCUUGCUCCUCUCUUGCUGCCUCCUUAUCUAACUUCUGCUCAGUCACCUCUGCAUUCUACCUGUAGAAAAGUGACUCAACAUCAUUCCAGAAGUCCGGAAUUCUACAAGAAUCAUCUGAUGUCAAAAAUAACUGAGAACAAUCUGAACAGGAGAGGAAGAUAGAAGUAACUAUGAAAGAUUACAGAGAUUAGAAAGAGCCACUGUACUUGAAAGAAAGCAAUCAUCUCUGAGAGCUCUUCAAUUACAACGAAAUUGUCAGCUAGAUAGAAGGAAUUAAUACUAGUGUUUGAUACCACCUUACGAUGACUAUAGGUAACAAAAAUACAUGAUUUAGUUUAAUAUAGCUUGAAGGAGGAUAUAUUUAUGAUGAUGAAUAUGCUAAUUACCCCGAUCUGAUCAUUCUAUUUUAUAUGUAGCAAAACCUUGCCCUGUACUCAGUAAAUAUACACAAUUAUUGUGGAUCAGUAAAGAAAAUAAAAUGCAAUUAGAAAGUAUAGAGCGGAAUCUCAUGAAUAUUAAAAUAUUAAUUACAAAAUAGCUAUAUGGGAUAGUCAUAUAAGAUGGCAUAACUUGAAAACCAGAGUUCCAUUGAUUCCCUCAAGGCUCCUAAGUGCCUGGGAGUUAUUUGGAGAGGUAGGGAUGCUGGUGAUGUGGGAGCAGCGAUGAAUCCUUCCAGGGUGGGCAACAGGCUGAACUCUGGCUCUCUUAUCCUAUUUUCAACUAUAACAGCUGUUUUAUAUUCCAAAUAAUACUGCAGUUGAUUGAAAAGUCCUCUAAUUUAAGAAAUUAAGAGUUUGAGAAUACAUAUUAUAGUUAAAUGAAAUAACUUUAUAUCUGGUGAGAUUGUGAUUGCAGAAAUUUCACACAGAUAUUAAUAAGAAGAAAUUUUUUCUUUUAAAUAUUAGUAUUCAAAUUAUUCCAUGUGGUUCUAUAAAAGUAUAAUUUUUUAAAAGUAUGAUUUAAUGAGAAGGCAGAAUCCAAUAUAUUAUGUCAUGUCAUGAACCAAUUGGCUGCCUUAUUGGCCAAAAUAAAAGCAGAGUGUUAUGGAUUUUGUGCACACAAAGUUUCAUCAUCUAAUGGGAAAAAUACGGAGAACCCUAACAAAAUUAAUUCUCAGUCUGUUCCCAUAGAUAUCAUGUAAAUUUGUUUCAUGUUGUUUUAAGGUUUCCUAUUUUUAUGCAUUUAUAUAGGUUAGUAUGAUUUAAACUAACGAAUCAACCAAACAAAAUUGAUGGCAAUUGUAUUCCAGAGUGACAAUUUAAGUACCAUGAGAUAAUGUUCAUAUUGAGGCUUUGAUAAGAAAUUCUUAAGUUUAUAAAAAGCUCUUAACAUGAUUAAUAACUCCAACUAAUAUUCUAAAUAUAUUAAAUAUAAUAAACAUGAGACAAAGUCUUUUUCAAAGUUAUCUAAGUUCAUGUUAAACUAUGAAUUGGUUGGUACACAACCAAAUGAAAAUUAGAUUCUGCAUAUAAAAUAAUAACUUUCUGGGACAAAAAAUCCACAUGCUAUUUAGCAGGGAAUGAAGGUCCUUUCAAGGAAAUAUAGAUCUAAUCUGUG